CGGGGGUGCGAGCGUUGUCCGGAAUCACUGGGCGUAAAGGGCGCGUAGGUGGUCUGAUAAGGGUGUGGUGAAAGCCCGGGGCUCAACCCCGGGUCGGCCGUGCCGACUGUUGGACUAGAGUGCUGUAGGGGCAGGCGGAAUUCCGGGUGUAGCGGUGGAAUGCGUAGAGAUCCGGAGGAAGACCGGUGGCGAAGGCGGCCUGCUGGGCAGUUACUGACACUGAGGCGCGACAGCGUGGGGAGCAAACAGGAUUAGAUACCCUGGUAGUCCACGCCGUAAACGAUGGGUACUAGGUGCCUGGGGGAGCGACCCCUUGGGUGCCGGCGCUAACGCAGGAAGUACCCCGCCUGGGGAGUACGACCGCAAGGUUG
rnacentral:rRNA from 1 species